GUGGUUCUGAGGUGAAGUCAUAAAAGGCUACACAGCUUCUGCUAGACCCUCUUGGGAUGUUCUUGCUUGGAACCAAGAAGCCACCUGGAGACCCCACACAGCCUUUCCAGCUGACAGCCCCUGCUGAGGUCCCAGCAGAUGGCACAUCCACAGUGAGUGGAAUCCAGCCACCAUGCUAUGAGCCACCUAACCAGGCAAAAAGAAAUGAAGCCUUCUCUGAACCAGUCCCAAGAAGUCUCAACUUUAAAGCAUUAACUCCCCAAAUGAACUCACUUUCAUUUCAUCUUCUCAUAUGUCAUUGCAUUCUCAACAAACCAGAUCUAUAGGAUGGAUCAGUCAAAGCUUACAAAGAAAUCUAAUUAGGUAUGGAAUAUGAACUUUUUAUUUGAUAAAUAACUUAGCUGGAGAUACAUUGAGAGUUACUCUAUAAGAAUAAAAGAAAGAAACGUCAUAAUUGCUGGA